rnacentral:rRNA from 1 species
UACGGGGGGGGCAAGCGUUGUUCGGAAUUACUGGGCGUAAAGGGCGCGUAGGCGGUUCGAUAAGUCCCGUGUGAAAUCCCUCGGCUCAACUGAGGAAUGGCACGGGAAACUGACGGGCUUGAGUUCGGGAGAGGGAAGCGGAAUUCCGGGUGUAGCGGUGAAAUGCGUAGAUAUCCGGAGGAACACCGGUGGCGAAGGCGGUUCUCUGGGCAUUACCUGACGCUGAGGAGCGAAAGUGUGGGAGCGAACAGG